GUGCUCACUUCUGCAGCACAUAUACUGUAAUUGGAAUGAUGCCCCUGUGAAAGAAUGACACACAAAUUCAUGAAGCAUUCCAUAUUUUU
rnacentral:snRNA from 1 species